UGAAAUGUUUAAAAUAUUAGCAUCCUACUUGCACAUCUACAACAUAAAAAUAGUUCAAUUUUAACUAUAUUUAAAAUUACUGUGGUGACGACCAGAUAAAGGGGCAUGUAUACAGCAGCCUGUACUUCUGAGCAUAUGUGCAAGCACACAUCUUGUCUGUAAAGAUGUGUGAAUUUUCUGUGGGCACUGUAGGAUGUGUAGAAUUCAAGUGGUGGUAGUCACAGUGCUUGGUUUAAAAUCCUGGUAAUCCAUGAGUGCAGUGCUGUGUGACUACAUUAACACUUCACAAUAAAGGAUGGCAAGUAGGCAGAUUUGCAUGCAAAUUAAAUUUUCAACAAUAUUUCUGCAUGCAACUUCCAUUACAGUUGGGCAACUUUGCACAAUUGAAACUGAUGACUAAGAAAAGCAUUUAUAAUUUAGAAAAUUACAACAGCAGUGGCUGUAAUCACCCAGGUUAGCUGCUAAAGUGCCUCUAGGGGGUUGAUUAGAAGGAGAACCUUUAAGAAGCUCACGAGGGAGAAUCAAGCUCUGGGGAUUGAAACGGUGCAAGAGGAGCUGUUACAGUGAGGACUGCUUGCAAAAAAUGGAGAAUGAACUGAUGUAAUACAGGUGACUUCUAAUCAGUGGGAAGAAUUUUGAUCACUCAAACAUAAUUAAGAGCUGUUAACAGUAUGAUAUAGAUAUCAGAAUCAAGGCCCUGUUUUGUUGAAACUGUCUUUGCAAGACUUCAUUAAAUGACAAAAAAGAGGUGACUGGUGACAUGAAGAAUGCAAAGAAGAGGAAAUGAUGUAGUGUGUGCGUAGUCCCCAGAAGUACAAGAACGUUCAUUAUCCCCAUGUGAAGCUCUGAACAUGUCUCCACAUCACUUCAACAUAUGUAAAAGAUUUGGUUUGUAUUUACAUCAUCGCAGUUGGCUUUGUGGAAGAUCCAUGUGGAAAUGGAGCAUACAGAGAUGAAUAAUAGUGUUUCAUAACUCAGAAUACACUGUUCUCUCCUGACACCUGUGUCAGCCUAGGAAUGUGCAAGUGAAACACCUCAUUCUUUUUUAUUAGAUGUAACUUUGGUGCUCAGUCCUCUACCCUUAUUUUUAGAGAACUUACAAGUGUUCUUUCAUUUUGAAGGUGAUUUCUGUUGUCUUACGAAAAGUUAAUAAGGGUAUUAUUUGGUGAUAUAAGUUCAUCUCUUGUUCCAAAACAGAUCCUUAUAACGUGUUAAAAAUAUUUAUCAUAUUGCUUUCUAUCAAUUUACUUUAAAUUUAGGAUUGGUUCAUUAGCAGACUGUUGAAGAUCAUUACAAUCAUGACUGGAAGUGUUGGCAAGGUAUGUGGCUGUGUUGCUCCAAGGCCUGUGAGGGUGUCUGUCUUCCUGUUAGUUUGCACCAAUGAAGAGGGAGGUGCUGAUCCGGAGCAUACCGCUGAGUUACGAGGAAGCAACUGAGUGAACUGGGCCUCUUUGCAUAAAGUUCAAGAGUUGGAAGUAGGUGGAAAGAUCUUCAAACAGUGUUGAAGCUGUAAUUUGGUGUCAGGAGAAGGGGGGGG